CUGCUCAGUGAGUGGGAGGGCUGGUACCUUCUCUUGUUUCUGAGACCCAGGUAGCAAAGGAGUUUGGUGUGUUCCUGCAAGACCUCUCUUUCCCUAGGGGAAAACAGAGACAUCUCAUCACAGAUAGCUCUAGGUUUGCCUUGGCCAUGAUGUCCAAGUGGUCUGCUUGGUUCCAUGCCUGCGUCUGAGCUGGCUCUGUGGGAGGUGCCAAGCUGCCUUCGACACUGUGCAUGGCACUUUAAAGCUCUCAAUAAAUAUUUUUCAAGUGAAGUCAAUGAAGCAAGAAAGAAUCUCAACUAGUUUUGAGUUUUGGUUGAAGAGAAGGCUCACAGAGGCUCAGGGAAGCCCUCAGGUUUCAUGGGGACAGCCUGAAGAAUGACCUUCAUAUAAUGGCCACACAGCCACUUGGGCCACCGGAGCUCACCGUGAGACACACUCACCAUCUCGUCUUCAUGUCUGCUUUUCAGAUCCAAAUCACAUGCAGUCUGUUUUCACCUAAGAGGUUGCCGUGAGGGCCUGAAUGCUAUAAAAGGGAAGCAGAGGAGUGCGGUGGGAUAACUCUGGAGGUGGAUGGUGCUCCCUUUAGUUUUCUGGCAAGAAGCUAGGGAGAAGGUGACUUGAGCUCCUCGUGUGUUUUGAUCACUCAACAAAGAAGACAAAAGGGCGUUUCAUAACCUGACAGUGGGAGAGCACAUUAAAAAGCCCCAGGUAGGGACCAUUGCUGGGGAACUUGUGUGGUCAUUUGGAGGGUCAGUGAUGUGAGGGUACCUGCUUCAUGGGCCACACAGUGAGUUGACACAGGAGCUAAGACUGUCUCAGCCUUCUUUGCUCAACAGCAUUCCCAACCUCUUUGUGUUGGGCCCUGGACUCUUCCCUAAGGUUCUCUCCCUCAUCCAAUGACUGUGGGCAUGUGCUGUGCCAUGGUGUGAAGCUGGGUCUUCCUUUGUGCAAGCUGGGCUGGGUUACCUGGGAUCUGCAAUUUCCUGAAUAAAUGGAUCCAGACCCACUUCCAUGGUCGGUGUGGACAGAGCUCCUCCUUGCUUCAUCUUUCUGAGGAUAGAUAUCACUGGUGAUGUGUACAUUUCAGGACUUGAAGGAGGCCAAGUGGUGGCUAUUUAUAGGAGGCUGUAGAAAAGCUUGGACACAUGGCCUAGGAUGUUCAUAUGCAUAUGCCCAGGUCUCAUAAAAUGUAGGAUGGAGCCAAGCGUGGGAAGAGAGGAGAGGUAUAGGCCAGAGGCCUCCAGCUUUGCUACAGAAAGCUGAGAAUUCUGAGAAUUUGAAAUUCAAACUUUGCUUUUCGGUUGAUGAAAAGGUACAUUUGUCAAUGAAGGAGGAAGAAACGUAUUUGACAUUUGUUAUCUUGAUUUAUAACUCUUGCAUAUUUACCCAUAUGGUAUAUGUCAGCUUCCAUAUGUACUUGUGCCCUAGGUAUGCAAAUGUUAGGAGAGGGUCUGUGCAAAGGGCAGAGGCAGUGUGUGUUGUUGGUCUAUUGUGUCAACCUGCAGAGAGCUGAGUCUUUCUCCAGCCCUCUCCCUUGAGGGUGGGACGGUUUUUGUAGGGUGGUACUGCUUUCAACUUUAACUCCACUCCCAAACCACCUCAGCUCAAGAGUCAGCAAUGGCUGCUCCAGUCUAUAGGAAGAACCCUGAAGACCUAUGGGAUAUUCUGGACCUAAUCUACUGUCUUUAACCUACCUCUCACCACUAUCCUCUUCUCUUCCAUGAACCUUCUGUCUGGUAGCACAAGCCCCUUCACUACUUCUCCAUGCUCCUUCUCCCCAUAACUCCCCUACAUUACACACACAUGCAUACACAAGCACACAUGCAUAUAGGUGCACAUACACACAUGCACGUGCAGGCAAGCAGGUUCCUUCCUGUCAAUUGACUCAUGACACUAAUUCUGUCUCAAAUACCAUUCGCUCUUCUCUCCAUCCCAUCCAAAUCCUACCCAUUUAAAAAGAUCUAGUUUAACUUCCUAAACUUUGUUUAUUCAUUAAUUCAUACGAUGACUAGUAAUUGACACUGUACUAAGCCCUAGCUUACAGCCAUGUGAAUACAUAUUUUUCUCUAAUCCAGUUUGCCUUGAUCUCUAUUUUCUGAACAUCUAUAUCAUAUGUCAUUUCUACUUAAUUUUAAUAAGGUUUCAACACUGUUGUCUAAAUUUUCCCAGUUGUAGAUUUUGUCUUAAACUAGAUGAUAUAUUUUUGAUGAGCAGGAACUCUGUGCUGGGCCAUGUUUACAUUUUACUCAUUGGCCUACAGAAUUUAGUGGCAUAAAGUUGAUAUGUAGAAAAGGGCCAUUGAUUAAGUGAUAGGCAGAUUGAUGGAGGGAUCAAUUGAUUUGCUGCCAAGCCACAUCCCAUGUAAGGGAAUUUUCAGAGUAUGGGUGGUCUGGCUUCCAUUCUUUCUCUGCCAUUUUUAAUGAAUUGUUUCUAAUGUAUUAUGGAUGUAUAAUGCCUGAAUUCAUUUCAGCCCCUUUGAACAUAUUGAUAUUUUGGCCUGAAGUCUUAGUAAGAAUGAUUUCUGUAUUAUGACUUUGAGUUUUUAUUUGUAACUUAUAACAAAUUACUCUUGUAGAAAAUCUUUUGUUGAAAUAAAUUCAGUUAUUUAUUAUUUCUUAUUAUUUCCAUAUGACAUUUGGUUUGCUUUUCUAACAUCUCUAACAUCUCUUCUGGUGGGGCUGGAAUCCCUGUUUCUAUCUCUCUUCUUUCAAGAAAGAAGCUUAUAUUGAAGCAGUAUUUCUCAAAAGUAUGGAGCCUGGGUCAGUGCCAUAAGCAUCAUCUAGAAACCUGCUAGAAAUGCAGUUAUCAGGACCCAGUCCAGACCUAUCAAUCAUUUCAACAAGCCUUCUAGGUGAUUCUGAUGCAUGCUAAAAUUUGUGAAUCAAUCUAUUAGUUGAAAGAACACUGAGCUGGCAGUGUAGACCCUGAAUUUUGGCUCUGGCUAUGUUAUUAAAGGCUGUGUGACUCACUCUGAGUCUUGGUUUCCUUGUGCCCAUUUUUCUGUCUGUCUUGGUGUUUUGGGGGAUAAAGGCGGACUAUUCUCCACUUGGUUUUUUAACUGCCAACAUGGUGACAAUAACAAUGAUGCUUCAUAAGGUCGUCUUAACGAUCAAAUAAUUUAUUACGUACUCAUCCUUAUAGAAUUUUUUUUUAAACCUCUCAGAAUAAAGGGAGCCCAGGCUUUCAUUAUUUUACAUUGGGUUGCACAAUCGAGAAAUCUUGAUUUCCACCAUUUGUAAGUGUUACAGCCCAGUGGGGAAUGCACACACACUUGCCCAUAGAAUGAGUAUACCUGAAGUGCCCCAAUAAGUGGUAUAUACGAUGACAAUAACCUCAGAAGAGGAAGCAGCUUCUGAGAGCUGGAGUGGUCACACUGAGAAGGUUGCAUCUCAAAGAUGAGUUCUGGAUUGAGACUUAAAGAUAGGUUACAGAUAGAUGAAUAGUGAGGAGGGGCACUCCUGGUCAGCUCAGGCAGGUGAAUGCCAGGGUUAAACAUGGCAGUCUAAAAUGGGGGUGUAAAGUGAAGACAAUGAGUAGAUCAAUUGCCAGGAAUGGGGUAUGUGUUGAGAGAUUUAGUGGAAGAUAACUUGGAAAAGAUGUUGGGACUAGGUGUUGAGGGUCUUGACAGAAGGCAAAAGAACCUGGAAACUCCAAGAGAGAACACUAGCAUAAGAGGUCAGUGGUUAUGUUUUAGAUGUCUUCAGGGUCAGUAGGAUAUUUACGUGGUGAUUUGUUGGGGGCAUCUUAUCACAUGCUUUUAGGAAAGAAGACGGAAGGUAGUUCUGAACCCUUGAAUUCUAUUUUGGGAAUUGCCUUGGCUGGCUCAAUGGAGCCAGUCUAAAUGCAUAUGUGUUAAUUAACUCUGAACAGCUUUAAAGACUGACCUAAUCACAAAGUUUCAGAUACCCCAGAGGAAAGGAAACAAGUUGAUCAUAGCGGUAGCUCUCAGUUCUGGCUAUAUAUUAGAAUCACUGGGGAGCUUUAAAAAAAUCCAUAUCUGGACUCUACCCCAGAGAUUUUGGUUUAAUUGGUCCAGGAUGGGGUCUAUGCACUGUUUUAAAAGCUCCCCAGGUGGAUCUAAUGUGCAGCCAGGGAGUGAACCACUGCCCCUGGAGGAGCAAGCAGGUAUAACUGUAGGUACAGAUAAUGUUCAACCAACCCUAUCAAUCAACCCAUAUUAUAUUUUACUCAAUGAGAAAAUGUUUCUGUUGUUUCAGACAUCAGUUUUCUCUGAUUUUUGGUGGCUCUUCAAGUAAUGGAUCAGACUGCCGUUGUCUUGGCAGGCUGGGGAGUCUGGCAGAUAUGAGUGAUCUUGGCUGGUAUAAUAAAAAAAUAUGGACCCAGAGAAGAAAACAUAAGAUGUGGGCCCCGUUGAGCGGAGCAGUGGAAAGGCCAUCUUAAGACUUCUGUGUAAUGCUCAGCAAGGAGUCAGGAGCUACGGACUAGGACCAUUACUUUAAAGACGUUGUCUGAUUUCUUAGAAUUUUAUAAUGAUCACGUUUAUUUUUAAUACUCCCUUCUGUAG
rnacentral:lncRNA from 10 species